GACGGAGGGGGCGAGCGUUGUCCGAAUUUAUUGGGCGUAAAGCGCGUGUAGGCGGAUGGACAAACCUGAGGUGAAAGGUUGGGGCUCAACCCCAUACAGUGCCUUGGGGACUGUUCGUCUGGAGGCCGGCAGAGGAGAGUGGAAUUCCUGGUGUAGCGGUGGAAUGCGUAGAGAUCAGGAAGAACACCCAUGGCGAAGGCAGCUCUCUGGGCCGGUACUGACGCUGAGACGCGAAAGCGCGGGGAGCGAACGGG
rnacentral:rRNA from 1 species